UACAGAGGGGGCAAGCGUUAUUCGGAAUUAUUGGGCGUAAAGAGCGUGUAGGCGGCCAGAUAGGUCAGCUGUGAAAACUCGAGGCUCAACCUCGAGACGUCGGUUGAAACCAUCUGGCUAGAGUCCGGAAGAGGAGAGUGGAAUUCCCGGUGUAGCGGUGAAAUGCGCAGAUAUCGGGAAGAACACCCGUGGCGAAGGCGGCUCUCUGGGACGGUACUGACGCUGAGACGCGAAAGCGUGGGGAGCGAACAGG
rnacentral:rRNA from 1 species